AGUGAAUUUUCAGAAUUCUCAGGUACCAAAUAGUACAGAUUAAAUUCUUUCAUGAACUGGUGCAUUCAACAGUUAUAAGUGACCCUAAGACAACUUUUAAUUGUUUCAUGCACAUGCCUUCUCUCUCUAGUUGCUUCUCCAUCUAGAUUCCAUACAUACAUACUCCAAUUCUCUUAAGUUGUCUCAAAAUCUCAUUUUGUGAUUAUU
rnacentral:misc_RNA from 1 species